rnacentral:tRNA from 1 species
GGAGAGAUGGCUCAGUGGUUAAGAGCACUGGCUGCUCUUCCAGAGGACCUGGGUUCAGUUCCCAGCGCCUACA